GCUGGGCUUGGUGGCGCAUGCCCGUAGUCCCAGCUACUCAGGAGGCUGAGGUGGGAGGAUGGCUUGAGCCCAGGAGUACAAGACUGCAGUGAGCUAUGAUUGUGCCACUGCACUCCAGCCUGGGUGAUACAGUCAGACUCUGUCUCAA
ensembl:misc_RNA Metazoa_SRP Metazoan signal recognition particle RNA